GACGGACGCUGGCGGCGUGCUUAACACAUGCAAGUCGAACGGAAAGGCCUGCUUUCCCUUGUGGAUUGCGGGUACUCGAGUGGCGAACGGGUGAGUAACACGUGAGUGAUCUGCCCCCAACUUGGGUAUAAGCCUGGGAAACUGGGUCUAAUUCCCGAUAGGACUGCAGGGUGGUGCCUGUGGUGGAAAACGAUUUUCUAGUGGUUGGGGAUGAGCUCGCGGCCUAUCAGCUUGUUGGUGGGGUAAUGGCCUACCAAAGCGGCGACGGGUAGCCGGCCUGAGAGGGUGGACGGCCACAUUGGGACUGAGAUACGGCCCAGACUCCUACGGGAGGCAGCAGUGGGGAAUAUUGCACAAUGGGCGGAAGCCUGAUGCAGCGACGCCGCGUGGGGGAUGACGGCCUUCGGGUUGUAAACUCCUUUCGACCGCGAGGAAGCCACCUGGUUGGAAGGGUGGUGACGGUAGUGGUAGAAGAAGCACCGGCUAACUACGUG
rnacentral:rRNA from 1 species